AUUGAACGCUGGCGGCAGGCCUAACACAUGCAAGUCGAGCGAGAGGCGGACGGGUGAGUAAUGUCUGGGAAACUGCCUGAUGGAGGGGGAUAACUACUGGAAAAGGUAGCUAAUACCGCAUACCAUCAGAUGUGCCCAGAUGGGAUUAGCUAGUAGGUUGGGUAACGGCUCCACUAGGCGACGAUCCCUAGCUGGGCUGAGAGGAUGACCAGCCAAACUGGAACGUAGACACGUUCCAGACUCCUACGGGAGGCAGCAGUGGGAAAUAUUGCACAAUGGGCGCAAGCCUGAUGCAGCCAUGCCGCGUGUGUGAAGAAUGCCUUCGGGUUGUAAAGCACUUUCAGCGGGGAGGCGUUACCCGCAUAAGAAGCACCGGCUAACUCCGUGCCAGCAGCCGCGGUAAUUC
rnacentral:rRNA from 1 species